rnacentral:ncRNA from 1 species
AGGUGUGCUCUAAUGUGGAAAUAAUGUCACAGCCGCAUGUGCUGAAUUGAUCACAGUACGAAAUUAUAAAUGAGAAUUCAGGCGGAUGACAUUGUCAGGUGGGGAGUUUGGCUGGGGCGGCACAUCUGUUAAAAGAUAACGUAGGUGUCCUAAGAUGAGCUCAACGAGAAUAGAAAUCUCGUGUGGAACAAAAGGGUAAAAGCUCAUUUGACGUCAUAAAAUCUUGUCAAAAAAUAUAAGAUUAUUAAAAUCGUAAGGUUUUAUUUCCAAAGCAAUAUGAUAGAUAAUUUAC